rnacentral:rRNA from 1 species
UCGGCUUAGAGUUUGAUCAUGGCUCAGAUUGAACGCUGGCGGCAGGCCUAACACAUGCAAGUCGAGCGGUAAGGGAGCUUGCUCCUGACGAGCGGCGGACGGGUGAGUAAUGUCUGGGAAACUGCCUGAUGGAGGGGGAUAACUACUGGAAACGGUAGCUAAUACCGCAUAACGUCGCAAGACCAAAGAGGUUCGUCUUGCCAUCAGAUGUGCCCAGAUGGGAUUAGCUAGUAGGUGGGGUAACGGCUCACCUAGGCGACGAUCCCUAGCUGGUCUGAGAGGAUGACCAGCCACACUGGAACUGAGACACGGUCCAGACUCCUACGGGAGGCAGCAGUGGGGAAUAUUGCACAAUGGGCGCAAGCCUGAUGCAGCCAUGCCGCGUGUAUGAAGAAGGCCUUCGGGUUGUAAAGUACUUUCAGCGAGGAGGAAGGCGUCGUAUAAUUGCGACGUUGACGUUACUCGCAGAAGAAGCACCGGCUAACUCCGUGCCAGCAGCCGCGGUAAUACGGAGGGUGCAAGCGUUAAUCGGAAUUACUGGGCGUAAAGCGCACGCAGGCGGUUUGUCAUGUCGGAUGUGAAAUCCCCGGGCUCAACCUGGGAACUGCAUUCGAAACGGGCAAGCUAGAGUCUUGUAGAGGGGGGUAGAAUUCCAGGUGUAGCGGUGAAAUGCGUAGAGAUCUGGAGGAAUACCGGUGGCGAAGGCGGCCCCCUGGACAA